GACAGAGGGUGCAAACGUUGUUCGGAAUUACUGGGCGUAAAGCGCGUGUAGGCGGCUAUGCAAGUCGGAUGUGAAAGCCCUCGGCUCAACCGGGGAAGUGCACCCGAAACUGCAAAGCUAGAGUCUCGGAGAGGAUCGUGGAAUUCUCGGUGUAGAGGUGAAAUUCGUAGAUAUCGAGAGGAACACCGGUGGCGAAGGCGGCCACCUGGACGGUAACUGACGCUGAGACGCGAAAGCGUGGGUAGCAAACAGG
rnacentral:rRNA from 1 species